UGAUUCAAUCUGGCUUCUCUCUGCUUCUCACUGAAUUGCUCUGCUUGGCCUCAAAGAAACUGGAAAUUUGUUCUGAUCUUCUGGCUCUUCUUAUUCUCUGGCUUCAUCUGACUGUGCUGACCUGCGCUUAACUGCCUGAACUCAUGAAUGAACUCAACUCUGUUGCACUGCACUGAUUCCCAGCUGACUUAAAAGGACUGUCUCUCUCUCUUUCUCUGUACAUAGCCUAAACUGUUCUAGUAGACUUUUCUGUUUGUUCUUCUGAGAGUUAGGGCAGUCCUACCUUGGAUUCAUUCUGUCAAAUAUUUCUCUGAUUUGUCAAUUUGUAUGUCCCCUGCCAUUAGACCUCACAUUCAAACAUGGCUAUCUGUCUGUACAAACUAACCUUCCCUAGAUGGUUAGGUAUUAAUGAUGUGUGCUAAGGUUGUUUGUAUUCCAGCCAGAUCAUAUUGCAGUCCAAGGGAUGUCUGCAUUCAGGCCAAUUCAUAUCUUUACAUGUGAUCCCUUGCAUGAACAACCAUGUUGCUGGAGUAAAAUUCCUCUACAAAUUUGGGUAGUAGUGAAUUUUAGAAUAACUAAGAAUGCCAAAACAAAUUUAACCCUUUAAAAAUUGGGGGUACUAUGAGCCGUUGAAAAUGAGGUAUUUCCUUUUCUAUUGAUAUAGAAAGUUAAGAAAAGUUUUGAGACACCUAUGUUCUGAGAUUAACAGUUUUGCAUUUUUUGCCCUAAACUAAUUUCAAAUAUGAAUAUUUUUUAUAUCAGCAUAGUGUUGACUCAAUACUAGUAGUCAAUUUACUCUUACCAAGUACUUACCAAGUCCCAAAUAUCUAUGUUUUUUUUCUUCAUCAAAAUGCAAAUGCAAAUCAAAAAUCAUUUUCUUGGGGCUGGAAAGUUUGUGCAGCAUUUAAAAAUGCAUAGCACUCUGCAGAGAAGAAAUGUUUAUUCUAUAGCAUAUACACUAGCUAUUGCCUAACCAUGCUUAACUCCAGCUUUCAGAAGGUUCAAUACUUAUUGUCUCUGUAGGCACCUGUGCUGACAUGCACAUACGCACACGCACACGCACACACACUUAAAAAAUAAGAAUGGAACUUUAAAUACAACUUGAAAUGCAUUAUUUUGUUACAAGAACUUUGCUUCUGAAGUUCAUAUGUCAGUUUAUUCCACUUGAUUGCAAGCUAUUUAUCUGAGUUAACACUUUAUCUCUUUUCCACUUACUAGGCCACCUUAAUAGUAUUUUGGUCUUCUUCUUCCACAGACUGUAUGGUAUAAACUUCAUUGUACUUUUGCCCAAUUUUCUAUCACUUCUCUUAUAGCUUGUGUAUUCUUUCUAUGUUGCAAAUCUGUUCCUUUUGCUUUUAUUAUACCUUUUACAGUGGUGACAUAUAAUGCCAGUCUGUCUUACAUAGUUUUAAUUAAUAAACCUGCAGAUUUUGCCC
rnacentral:lncRNA from 1 species